rnacentral:lncRNA from 1 species
AAUAACCCAUCAAGUUGGCUCCGACCGAAUCGCCUUCAAUGCUUAAAUCGGCCAAGAUUUUAGAGCAACAGCGAGAAUAGCAAAAAAAAACAUCAAAGUAGAAUAAUCUUUCUAGAUUGUUAGGCCUUAAAUGCCUAACGUGGAAUGCUCGACCUAAAGUACAUCGUCAAGAGUUUAGCCUCGACUUUUGGGAGCUCAGCCUCAACUUUUAGAAUUUCAGCCAUCAUGAGCUUGGUUGUAGGAGGCACGGUCUGGAAGUGCUUAGCUUGGGAGCUCGGACUCAGAACUUGGCCUAAGUGUUCAUUUUGGAAGCUUGGCCUAAAGUGCUUGGCAUAGAAGCUUGGACUUUAGGAGCUUAAUAGCUCGGCCUCAAACUUGAUAGCUCAGCUAGAGACUUGGUGGCUUGACCUUAGACUCGAUAGCUCAACCUGGUUCUAGUCAGCGGCUGCGCAUCUCACGUGCACAUCGCUCGUAUCUCAGAUGCACAUAAAGGCAGCUUUAAGGACUCGCAUUUUGGUCUUCAAAGACGCAAAUCUCGUACUCACGGCGCUCAGAUCUCAGGUGACAUAGAAAAGUGGCUUCUAAGAAUGCGCAUCUCGGUCUCUAAGGAUGUGCAUCCCAUUUGGAGAGAAGACAGCAUCUCGAAACGAUCAUCGAAGAGGAGUCGAGUGCAAGGAUAGCCAUGAGAGCUUGAGAGAUUCUCCAUAGGAGCCUCUUACAACGAGAGCUUGAG